UAAAAGGCUCUUUUAGGAGUCAUUCUAAAGGAAAAAAAAAAUAUAU
rfam:Plasmodium falciparum Vietnam Oak-Knoll (FVO) unplaced genomic scaffold supercont1.137, whole genome shotgun sequence.